GAGUUUGAUUAUGGCUCAGGACGAACGCUGGCGGCGUGCUUAACACAUGCAAGUCGAACGAAAAGACGGAAAGAGCUUGCUCUUUUCAGAAUUGAGUGGCAAACGGGUGAGUAACACGUAAACAACCUGCCUUCAGGAUGGGGACAACAGACGGAAACGACUGCUAAUACCGAAUAAGUUCCAAGAGCCGCAUGGCCCAUGGAAGAAAAGGUGGCCUCUACCUGUAAGCUAUCGCCUGAAGAGGGGUUUGCGUCUGAUUAGCUGGUUGGAGGGGUGACGGCCCACCAAGGCGACGAUCAGUAGCCGGUCUGAGAGGAUGAACGGCCACACUGGAACUGAGACACGGUCCAGACUCCUACGGGAGGCAGCAGUGGGGAAUCUUCCGCAAUGGGCGAAAGCCUGACGGAGCAACGCCGCGUGAGUGAUGACGGCCUUCGGGUUGUAAAACUCUGUGAUCCGGGACGAAAAGGCAGAGUGCGAAGAACAAACUGCAUUGACG
rnacentral:rRNA from 1 species